rnacentral:misc_RNA from 1 species
GUAUUUGCACCGAUUGCAGUGAAUGAGAAUCAUUGCGUGACCCACAGUGACGAAAAAUUGAAGUGAAAAGGCUUCAGCUACUGAAAUUCAUUAAAUUAAUGGCCCCCUUAAUCGUGGACAAGGGUAACGCUUAUUAUGACAGAGGAAUAUCUUACGCUGCACGGUACAAAUCAUACGACGCGAUCUUCUCCGUCGAGCGCGCUUCGUUUCUGAAAAUCGGCUCUUCUGUGUAGACGAUGGACAGGGAAGCACUGCUGCCUAUCGCUGCUUGUUGUAAUCUGAAUCUACAACCCAGACGCAGGGAGAGAGAGAACGGGAUGGCAAACGGUGGUCAUGGAGGAUUGGUCCACGGCGUCGGUCCAGGUUCGGGAACAUUAUCGCGUGA